rnacentral:rRNA from 1 species
CUACGGGACGCUGCAGUGAGGAAUAUUGGACAAUGGAUGGCAAUCUGAUCCAGCCAUGCCGCGUGAAGGAAGAAUGUCCUAUGGAUUGUAAACUUCUUUUGUAUGGGAGCAAUAAGUUGUACGCGUACAAUGAUGAGAGUACCAUACGAAUAAGCAUCGGCUAACUCCGUGCCAGCAGCCGCGGUAAUACGGAGGAUGCGAGCGUUAUCCGGAUUUAUUGGGUUUAAAGGGUGCGUAGGCGGUUACUGUAAGUCAGCGGUGAAAUUUAGGGGCUUAACCCCUACCGUGCCGUUGAUACUGCAGAGCUGGAAUAGGGAUGCUGUUGGCGGAAUGUGUAGUGUAGCGGUGAAAUGCAUAGAUAUUACACAGAACACCGAUUGCGAAGGCAGCUGACAAAUCCCUUAUUGACGCUGAUGCACGAAAGUGUGGGGAUCGAACAGGAUUAGAUACCCUGGUAGUC